AAGUUAUUUAAAAUUACCUCAUAGUAUCAUAAUUAAUUAAUGUAUGGCUAUUAGUGAUUAGUUAACACUUCCAGCUAGUAUUAGCAGUAAUGAGAGAGUUAUAGAUGGAUUUAAGUACUAACUAAAUAAAUUUGACCAUUUUAGUCACUAAGCUUAUAUUAUGCCUUAACAGUUCUGACUGACCAUAUCACAUAAUGAAGAGGCACUAUGUAAAGUUGAGACAUCAAUCCAGGAAGAUCUAGAAGCAUAUUAUUGAUUCUAAUGGAACCAAGUGCUUUGCUUAUCAGAUGCUCUGGUAUAUACUUUAGUACAAAACCAUUAUUUGUUUAUCUUGAAAAACAAAGGAGAGAAUAUCUGGAUCGGAAGCAGGAUCAGCAUAUUCAGGUAGAAAGGCAUGGUCUCAGCUCGACCUCUUUCCAUUAGUGGAUGCUUUGAGCUUCAUCACAAGAUCCUCGCGCUGAGCCUCCACUUCAGCAUAUUGCAGACUCAUCUGAAAGUAACGAUCACGAAGGUCUACUAUCUCAAUCUCUAAAGAUGACUUUGUCCUCUCGUAUCUUUCAUUUGCAGCCACCUCAGUACCAGAUACGGACUUCCUAGGUCCACCUGAAUGACUGUGCAGCCCAUCAGAGAAAAUACUGCACAGAUUACAAGCAAAAAAUAUUAGGCACACAUUUUCAAAUAGCAUUAUUUGUAAUUGUGUUUUGCUAUGUACCUCUGAAGCUGAAGCUUAUAUCUGUUAUUUGCCUCGAGAGCCUCAGCAAGCUCAUCCUCAAGUAAUUUUACCUUUGCCAUAAAAUCCUCACUAGCAGUCUGAAGAGUUCCAACAAAAUCAUAAUCACUAUCUACCUCAGAAUAAAUAAAUAUUGUAAAGGGGUAUGAAUAAAUAAAUAGUGCAAAAUGUGAACUAUGAAAAUUGAAGUGAUCAAUAUAUUCUUCAGCAUUUGUUAUCAUUUUCUUGUUGAGUAACUGAUAAAUCUUACUAUUAUAAAUGGAGGUUCUUACAUUGUUCUUGCCUGUGCUACUUCGAUCCUGUUGUUCUGCCUCCAUCAGCUUCACUUGUUCAUUACACAUUUGAACUCUCUUCAACAAUUCUUCCUUUUCAACCUCAAUCUGUAGUAUUGUCCUCUUAUAUUGCUUGUUUACUCUCUUCAUUCUCCCGAGUUCAUUUCUCAGCUCUUCAUCCUCUGCUUUUGAUGCUUCCUUUGCUAUUAGAUCAUGCUCCAUAUGCAGAAGCUUUUCUUCCAACGUAGUUCUUUUGUGUUUGCAGUCCUCAAACUCGGACAUUACUUUCUGGAAGGUAGAAUCUUUUUCUUGAAGGGAGUUAAUUUCAGCUUUUAGGUUUUCGUUAUCUAUAGAUAAUGAAUGCAGUAAAGCUUCCAGCUUUUCCUUCUCACACUUAUAUUCGUCAAGUUCCUUCUCUAAAGAAAUUGAAUUGUCCUGACAGUGUGCUAGAUUCCGUAUCUGACCCUUCAGACCAGCAAUUUCGUUUAUUAGUUGUUGCCGUUCAUAUUCAGAUACUGUCAGUUUCAGCUCAAGACUAUUUACUGAUGUCUUGAGUUUUUCUUGACUAGACCUGUAACUUGUUAGUCUCUUUAAGACUAUUUCAUAGUCGGCAUGGCUCUGUUUGGAACGUGCAAGCUCAGAAAUCAGAUCUUGAACCCUGGCUUCAUAUUCUGUUUGGAUUCUAUCAAGCUCGUCUUCUGUCACUUUGGCUCUGGAAAUCACUUCUUGAAGAACGCAAUUCAACUUUUCUUUGUCAGAUUGUAACUUGGUAACUUCAUUUACAGCUUCAGAAGCUAUUUUAUCUCUUUCAUCAUUGGUAGCAGAAAUUUGGUUAAUAAGGUUUUCCACCUCGCUUUGGAGGUUCCCAACUUCAGCUGUCUUUUCCAUGUACAUCUGAUUUAGCAAGGUUUCUCCCAUGAUAAGUUUCUUCUUUUGUUCCCCGUUUUCUUGAAGAAGUACAUCUAGUUCAGAGGUCAGGCUUUUCUCCUUUACUGCAAAUUCUUCUAGGAUAGAAGAAAGUUCUGCUUCUAGACUUUCAGUCUUUUGGGAGGAGUUGGACAAAUGUUCCUGUGAUUCCCUCAAACUGGUUUCCAGGAAAGUACAUCGCUCGUGCAAGUCCUUGAUUUUCUUCCUCGAUUCUUCAUUUAUUUCCUGAAGCUUAUUGCAUUUCUUAGAGAGAUCCAUGGCAGAUUUCUGUGACUUCUGAUUAGUCAUUUUCUGGUACUCACUUUCUUCUUGGGCUUCUGAUAGCUUGUUUUCCAUGUCCUGUAAUUUCUCUUGUUGAACCAUCUUUUCUGCCUCCAUCUCCACUGUCAAUCUUCUGAUCUCAUCUUGCAGACCUAUUGCAACAGACUUGGAAUUCUCAUUCAAGUCCGAUAUUUGCUUCUUCAGAUCUUCAUUUAUUUUCUGAAGAGUGCUGCAGCUCUCAGAGAGAUUUAGAGUAGAUGCUUGUAGCUUUCGAUUAGACAUUUUCUGAUAUCCACACUCCUGUUCAGCUUCAGACAGUCGAUUCUCCAUAUCCUGCAAUUUCUUUUGCAGAGCAUUGUUUAGUGUCUCCAUCUCUACUGUCGUUCUUCUGAUUUCAUCUUGAAUGCUAAUUGUGAAAGAUUUGGAAUUCUCAUGCAAGUCCAUGUUUUGGUUUCGUAAUUCAUCAUUCAAUUUGUGAAGUGUACUGCACCUCUGCGAUAAAUUCUCACCAGAUGCUUGUGACUUCUGAUAAGCUAUUUUCAGAAUAUCAGAUUCCAGUAGCUGUACCUCAGAUGACUGUUUAGCCAAUUCCACUUGUAGCUCCGUGAGUUUAGCCUGUAGCACAAUGUUUGAAUUCCCAAGUUCUUGAUUCUUUAGACUGAGGAGCACCAUCUGAUGUUUAGCUUCUGCAAUAGUUUUCUCUUUCGUGUUCAUCUCAAGGGCACUACUCUUUAGAACUUCUUCGCACUUACUGAUUUUAGCUUCUAGUACUUUGUUUACCUCUACAAAGAAGCUGCAAAGAGAUUCAACCCAACCUUUCGAAGCUACAGGGUGGUUUCUGUUUACCAAAUCACUAUAAUGAGAUUCACACUCGUCAUUUACCUCAAAAGGAAUGGUAUACCAUGACCUCUUUAUGUUGUAAAAGGUCAAGUCAAUCUGCUUUAGAAGUUCAGUAGACGUUAUAGAAUUGUCCAGUUGAGCUUCUUCGCUCACUUUCUCCAGUUCCUUUUGCUUGCACAGGAGGGAUAAAUUUUCACUGGUUAGCUCACUACAGUUAAUUUCUAGCUCCUGCAUCAUCUCUUUUAACUCUUUGAUUUCAUUGAUCAAGUCCAUGCUGCUUCCGCUACUGCACUCCAAUUUCUCUUUUUCUAUCACUGCAAGAGACUCUGUCAGGUCUUGUUCAAGCGAUUGAACGUUAACAAGUAGCCUUUUCUCCGAUUCCUGCAACUGCUGCAAUUGAAGUGAGAAGAUCCUGUUUUCUUCUAAAUGUCCUUCAAUUGAACCUUCUAAUUCAGUGAAUCUCAGCUGUUGCUUGGACAGAUGCUCAAUUUCAACUUUCUGUUUCUCUAUGAUCUCUUCCAACUCUUGAAGAACAGAAAGCAAUUCAAUAUUUGACUCUUGACUCAUAUCUAAUUGCACAGCCAAAUGAGUAUUCUCUUCUUUCUGGUACUUCAACUCUUUUUCCAGUUCCUUUCGUCCUUGAAUAACAUCUUCCAAGUCACUUGUUGCGCGCUUGGAGGUUGUUUUUUUCAGAACUACUUCCUCCAGCAAUAACUUUAACUGAUCUAUUUCUUUCUUCAUUCCAUCUUGAACUUUGUGCGAUGUCAAAAGCUCCAUCUCCAAAUUGGUUUGUUUUUUGGACUGAGAAUGAAAUUGCUCAUUUAAUAUAUCCAGAUCAAGUGUUAGCUUUUGGGAGUUUCUUUCCCACAUCUUAGCUUCAUUACGAAGUUCUUCUAUAGUAUCUUCUGCAGCUUCCAGAAGAUUUCUGGAGGAGCCAGCAUUUGUCAGAGAUGCCGUGCCUAGAGGAACUGAAGAACUUUGUCCAAGCUCUUCUUCAUAAUUUUGAGAUUCAUCUACUGAAUGAGUGAGCCGAGAAUUUAAGGAUGACUGAUAUGAUCCAAAAUAGUCAUCAGCAGGGUACAUGCCUUCAGGUAAUCUAUUUCCAGACCUGGCCUCAACUUGUCUUCCGACCAUAUUGUACCGGACACUACUGGAAUCAUUUGGUGAGAGGUUCCCCUCCCUCAUAGAACCCUCUUCAGAGACGAAGCUAUGAUGUGAACCAGAUGCCAGGUAACUUGUUUCCUGCAUUAGUACAGUAAGGUAGUUAAUCAUAAUAGUAAUGUCAUAGAAGAUUACAUAUGUUUUCUUUAUGCCAGAUGUCCUAAUAUGAUGUACAAGCAUAUAUAGCUAGACUAUUGUCAACUGAUGCAGAACUCAUUGUGAGUUAAACAAUGGAUAAACAUAUGUAAAAGGAUAAAGACUACUGCAUAUCAUCUGAAGCAAAAAAGAAUAAAUUCUACUCUUACUGUGCUCCCCAAGUUUUCUGGAUGCGAGGUAAAGCCCAAAUCUUGACUUGACUGAGACCUGAGGCUUCUUUCAUUUGAAUUGUUUACACUGUCGGUAUGAUCUUCCACACGAGCUUCAACAUCUGAAUUUGAGUAUUUUGACCCUUGAUCCCUGAGAAAGUGUGACAAAUAUCUUUAGCAUGGCAUGUAACACAAAAAACAAAAAAAAAAAUUACUUGAUACCACAAAAUCGUAUUCUACAGCAAACCUGACUUCUGUUCUUGGUGUUAGGCAUUGAAUUUGAACCUGUAAACAGAUGGAGAGUCAGAACAGAGUUAGAACAGGCCUUCACACACAGCAACACCUUCAUACUAGAGGCAUUCAACUAAGACCUGCUUUUGCACCAGUUUCAUAAUAUAAUCUUGGCAAUGUACAAAUUAUAAAGUGAAGCCUAUAUCUGUCCCACUGUGAUCCUAAAUGAAGUUCUGAUUCUUAAGUACUAUGAUGGAUUGAUAAGUCAUCAAUUACUCUAUGUAAUGAUUUGCUAUCAGAAAUAGCAGAUUACCUGUAGAAUGGUGCCGUAAAUGCAUUUUUUGAGUGGCAAUGAAACUGGAGAAAACGCUUUUGAACGCUUAUAACUUGCCAUAUUGACAACAGAUUCGCCAAGGAUGCCAGACCUAGCAGAUCCCUACCAGAGCCAAGAAAUAAUGUAUUUGCACUUAGUAACGCUAAAACAGUUACAAAAAAUUGUAUGGUUCGUCAUAAUCAGUGCUGACAUACCAUGGAAAUGACAAGCUUUAAGAGUAUCUCCUCAAGCUCAUUCGAAGAAUCAUCCUGUGGAAUCCACAAGGAUUCUGACAAAGUAUCCGUCCAUUGACAGGUACCAUUGCGAACUGGUGCUUUGUUCGACUUUGCAAUUGUUUUUCCAGUCUCCACAGAUAUAAUAGACACUAUAAGCUUGUCCCAUCCUUCUGGUACCUGUUACCAUUAAACCGUGACACGAGGUGAAAUACUACAAUAAAAUCAAAAAAACGCUAGAAAAAUUUUCAUUCCAACACUUCUUUAAGGACCUGCAGGGCUUGAAAAUUGGAGAAGCUAAAAUCAAACUUCUCUCCAGACUUGGUAGUAGAAGUAGCAGCUAAGUUCUUGUUCUGCCUCUUUAACUUGAACAUCCUUCUAUUUUCUUCAGCUUCCUCUGCUGCGCUGCAUGAAUAUUUUUACUAAUUCACAGCACAGAGGUCUAGCAGUGGUACUAUCGUCCGUGCCAGCCAAUUCACCAUCAACAACUUUGAAAACAGUAACAAAAAUUGUCCUCCAGUGAGGGAUACAAAGAAGAAAUAGAAUGACUGUUUGAUAGCUGUUGGUAUUUGCAUCCUAGUCGUAUAUUUCUCUUAACAUUUUCUUUUGGCGGAGAGAAAGGGACAAAUCUUUCGAACAAUAAAUUAAAUAUUAUGAGUGUUUA